rnacentral:rRNA from 1 species
UAAACGACUCUCGGCAACGGAUAUCUCGGCUCUCGCAUUGAUGAAGAACGUAGCGAAAUGCGAUACUUGGUGUGAAUUGUAGAAUCCCGCGAACCAUCGAGUCUUUGAACGCAAGUUGCGCUCGAAGCCAUUAGGUUGAGGGCACGUCUGCCUGGGCGUCUCAC